UACGAACCGGGCGAACGUUGUUCGGAAUCACUGGGCUUAAAGGGCGCGUAGGCGGCCUUACAAGUCAGAGGUGAAAUCCCACGGCUCAACCGUGGAACUGCCUUUGAUACUGUCGUGCUCGAGGCCGGGAGGGGGUAGCGGAAUUCCCAGUGUAGCGGUGAAAUGCGUAGAUAUUGGGAGGAACACCAGUGGCGAAGGCGGCUACCUGGACCGGUUCUGACGCUGAUGCGCGAAAGCGUGGGUAGCAAACAGG
rnacentral:rRNA from 1 species